rnacentral:rRNA from 1 species
UUUAUAUGAGAGUUUGAUCCUGGCUCAGGAUGAACGCCGGCGGUGUGCCUAAUACAUGCAAGUCGUACGCACUGGCCCAACUGAUUGAUGGUGCUUGCACCUGAUUGACGAUGGAUCACCAGUGAGUGGCGGACGGGUGAGUAACACGUAGGUAACCUGCCCCGGAGCGGGGGAUAACAUUUGGAAACAGAUGCUAAUACCGCAUAACAACAAAAGCCGCAUGGCUUUUGUUUGAAAGAUGGCUUUGGCUAUCACUCUGGGAUGGACCUGCGGU